rnacentral:rRNA from 1 species
GAUGAACGCUGGCGGCGUGCUUAACACAUGCAAGUCGAACGAAGCAGGAAGCGAAGCGCAAGCAGAGGUUCUUGACUGAGUGGCGGACGGGUGAGUAACGCGUGGAUAACCUGCCUUUCACAGGGGGAUAACAGCUGGAAACGGCUGCUAAUACCGCAUGAGCCUCUUUUGUCGCAUGAGGAGAGAGGGAAAGAGAAAUCGGUGAGAGAUGGAUCCGCGUCCGAUUAGCUAGUUGGAGGGGUAACAGCCCACCAAGGCGACGAUCGGUAGCCGACCUGAGAGGGUGGACGGCCACAUUGGGACUGAGACACGGCCCAA